rfam:Danio rerio chromosome 7, GRCz11 reference primary assembly.
CAAAAGGUUCUUUUUUUCAGACGAGAUCCAAAGAACCAUCAAGAUUUUAAAAACUGUUGAAG